UUUGCAAAGCUAUAUGUGGAAGGAAACCGUGACCUAGAGCAAGCUAAUGGAAUAACAUUUUUAUAGAGAGCUGGCCAGCACCCUACGCCGAGCCUGAUUUGGCCUGUGAGCCGCAAGUUGAGUAUCACUGUUACAGACCUAUUAUGAAUUACAGGGAAGUUAAUAAAUAGUGAAAAUAACAGGGUUUCUUUUAAUUAUUUCCCCAUGAUUUCAUUCUGCUAACACAAACAGGUAGCUGAGGCAAUCGUUUAAAUACUGAGAGUUUAGAAGAUGUCAGCAGUAUUUCUGAGUGUCACACUGAUGACACUUUAUUUGUCUAACACUUUAUUUCCUCCGAGGAUUUUCCCACUAUACUCUUAAAGCCGGGUGAAGAGAAGACAUACGGAAGAAGAGGCUGAAAGUCUCCUCGGAGGACAGCAGCGAUGCCUCUCUGGUGGUCCCGCUCUCAUCUCCGGGAUCUCUGGAAGCACAUUGUCUACAGCAGCAGAAGACCACACCGGGUGCCAUUCCUGUCAGCUAAGAACAGGAAGUCAAGCAAACCAAACCUGAACAACAGAGGCUUGAAAAAGAGCUGCUGGAUCUGAUGAGUCUACAUUUCUACUGUGACAAUCAGAUGUGUGUGAUCUUCUGGUGGCUGCUUCCAGCAGGAUAACAUGCCUAAGGUGUCAAAGUUCAGUCAUCUCAAACUGGUCUCUGGAACAUCACAAUGAGUUCACUGUUCUCAAAUGGCCUCUACAAUCACCAGAUUCCAAUCCAAUAGACGUUUUGGAUGUGGAUGAAUGUGAGAGGCUCAUCAUUGAUGUGGCAAAUCUGCAGCAACUGUGCGAUGCUGUCAUGUCAAUAUGAACCAAAAUCUCUAAAGAAUGUUUCAAGCACCUUUUUCAGUCGAUGCCAUGAAGAAUUAAGGGAAAAGAGUGUAUACUAGGAAUGUGUGUCUGACAGCUGGAUUUGCCACCAUUUAAAAAAAUUAUUAUUCCAAAUGUAACUUACAAAAUCAAGCUCUUACUGUAAAAAAAUGACUGUGCUGUAUUAAAAAUCUUUAGGUUUGUUUGCCAUUAAAACUGCUACUUUAGAGUUCCCAUAAACAUCUUUUUACUGUAAAAUAUAACAUCAUAUGCUUUCCAGAGACUUUACAUCACAUCUUUUCUGAACUAUAAAAGGAUAUCAGCUUUGUUGUAAUUUCCCCUCUGUCCUUGCACUUCACAGGCACUGAAACACUGCUCUAUUCAACACUAACAUUAAAAAAAAAACAAAACCCUGAAGGCGAGUGCAGAGCAGAGGUUAUUUAUCGGUACAAAGACUUAGGUCAGGUUGUGGGCCAGUGCUAGCAUAACCACACCACAGUUCACGGGAAUACAUCCACUAAAAGUCUAAAUACUAUCGUAACACUUCAUGAUUUUAACCAACGAGACUUUGUGCCCAGCAAGGAAUCAAAUACUAUAUAUAAUUAACAUUUCCAGUAGUUUUUAGUUAUUUUUCCUGCCCUCAUGGACAUAAACAUUUGCAGCAUUCAGCUGUAUUCACUAAGGACAAAGCUUGUAACGUGAUCCCCCAGAGUGCGUUUACCUGAUAGCACUUGUAGUACUUUGAAUGUUUCUGCUUGUGCAUUUUUACCAUUCAUGCAUCCACUUGAGAAACGUUUACACCAGUACAACGCAGAGAAAUCCCAGUGGAAGGGUUAAAAAUGGUGUCUUUACAGUCCUGUGCAACUGAAACGUUUUCAGUCUACAGAUGGAGUGAUGGUUUCUGUAAGACAGCUAUGAAGUGGCAGCUCUCGGACAACAGCUGCUGAAUGGCGUUUGCCACAUCGCAGAGCAGCGAGACACGAGAGAGCAAAUACCAUUGGCAUAUUUUACUGCCUUCCUCAAUGCACACAUACCACAUACUCUAUUGUUUGCUAGCAUUUUGAGUACUUUUUUUUUUUUCAUAUUUAAUCAUAUGAUGUAAAGCUGAAUUUGUGCAAUAUAAAGACAGGAUAAACCCUAGGUGCAGAAAAAACCCAACCCCUGCUUAAUUUCUUCUCAACAAAGAACAAUUUUAUUUAUCCCAUUACUGAAGAUUUUUUUAUUUUUUUGGUCAAACAUUAGAUGUGAGGUGGAGGAAAGUACACUUGGUUAGAGAGGUGACAGUGCACAGGGCAGCAGGCAGGGGGCAGCAGACGAAUGAGAGAAGGGAUGCGGUUACCGGCAAGAAAGAAACGGAACAAUGGG